rnacentral:misc_RNA from 1 species
CAUCGACAUCCGGGUGCCUGGAUCCCCCUCGAUGCGGGGGAUCCAGGCCGCCGUGCUCGAGGCCAUGGAUGCUUGCCUCAAGGAAUUGCGCCGCACAAACAAGAUUGACGUUGAAGACCUCACCGUCGAGAACGGGCUGUUCAAGUCCUUUGACGAGAUUGUUCGGCGUCAGCUCGACCCUAUAUGGCACACUAUUGGCAGGAAACCAAAGCAGCUGGUCAG